UUAGUAACGAAUGUGUGUGCAAGGCAAAUUCUGUAUUUAUACAUUGGCAAGCAUUUGUAUAACAUACAUCCACAAGACAAGAAACAAUAGAUGUAAACUCUUAAAUUUCAUGGGUUGCAGUUCUAUUACACUGACAAACAGCUGGCAACCCUGCCAACUGCGAGCUGUGUUGACAGCACGGAAGAGUAAAUUGUGUGCACAUGAGUGUGCGUGUGUGUCCGUAACAUACGCUCUUCAGUAUUGCCAAAAACUUCUACAUGCAUAAAGCAUUAGAGGACGAGACUGAAAUAGAUAGAGAGAGAGAGCGCGAUGGAAACUGUGAGCGGGCUUACCCUCAGAUUGAGCAGGCGAGCUGGCCUGGCAACCCUUGGGCCCAAAUGCAUGUCAAACUGUCCCCUGUGGAUAACGUAGCGUAAGGGUAACGCAAGACACAAAAACUUUUAGCUAGCCGAAAGAAAAAAAAUAAAACCCAUUUAAUAAAGCAAAAGAUCAGCAGCUGUAAA